CUCUCCUAACAGAACCCAUCUUCUUCCUCUUUUCCCUUAACCAAAUCAAACUCUCUCUCUCUCUCUCUCUCUCGAUCUCUCGAUUACUUGAUCCUUCCAUCAAGCUAUUACCAUGUUCCUCUCUCUCUCUCUCUCUCUCUCUCUCUCUUUGCUAUGCACGUUUUCCUCUCUCUCGCCCCCACUGCUCUCAUCUGCUUCUUCUAUCGAUCUCAGAUUAAAGAAGAGUUUUUGAAGAUACAGUGAGUGCUCAAAUUUCGAAAUCGUUGGGACUUAAUACAUUUGAAAAUGUUGAGGAUUCUGAUGAUGAUGAAACACAACUUGGCUAUGGUAAUCACAUUCCUUUCUUCCAUGUGACUAGAGAUUCUUCAAAUUCUUAUGUAAGGAUAACGAUUAAUUGUUUGAUACUAUUUUUUUUUUUUUCUUUUUCAUUUUGUAAUUUGGAAUCAUGCCUCAGACAAUCUCUAAUAUGUCCUUAGUUUUUUUA
rnacentral:lncRNA from 1 species